CCUUCUUCACGGGCCACAAGCACCUUACGGGCCCAGCGACGGGAAACUCCCCUAAUCCGUCUCUUGCCUACGAUCGGGAGAAAGGGAAAUGCUUCGCCAAAUCGGUCACUGCAAGCUACCAAUAGCGGAAUCAGAGAUCCGAAAACUCUCUCCAGGCUUCCAGUCAGUCGUCCGUUCCCGUCGCUGCGGGCAGCGCAGGGACGAUGGCGAGGAUCCGGUGCUGCUGGGCGUGGGCAGGGACUAGGCAUUUUAUGGUACUUCUUUGCUAAAAUCUUAUUUCUUGGUUGUGUUAAUUCAUCCUCUUGGCGUGAUUUCAUCGGAGGCCUCACCGAGAAUUGAGGCGAGAAUCCCCAAAUCUGUUCAAGAAGGGAGGUGCAAUGCCGCUAUGCGACUUUACCUUAGAAUUCUGAAGAGUCAUUCGUUUUUGUGAAACUUGAUAAAAUGCAAAUAUAUGAUUUGGUUGAGCAAGCCUCUAAUAGUCUAAUGGUUGCAUUGUGACAAGGUUUGUUUACUAAAUUUGGGAAUCUUAGAAAGUUCAGCAUGUGGAGGGGAUGGUGGGCGUAGUAGGCAUAUCUUUCCGCAUGUAAUACACAAUUUUUUUUUUUGUUUU